AUUGAACGCUGGCGGCAUGCUUUACACAUGCAAGUCGAACGGUAACAGGCCUUCGGGUGCUGACGAGUGGCGAACGGGUGAGUAAUGCAUCGGAACGUACCCAGAGGUGGGGGAUAACGCAGCGAAAGCUGUGCUAAUACUGCAUGUGAUCUGAGGAUGAAAGCGGGGGACCGAGCAGCAAUGUUUGGCCUCGCGCCUUUGGAGCGGCCGAUGUCGGAUUAGCUAGUUGGUGGGGUAAAGGCCUACCAAGGCGACGAUCCGUAGCUGGUCUGAGAGGACGACCAGCCACACUGGGACUGAGACACGGCCCAGACUCCUACGGGAGGCAGCAGUGGGGAAUUUUGGACAAUGGGCGCAAGCCUGAUCCAGCAAUGCCGCGUGCGGGAAGAAGGCCUUCGGGUUGUAAAACGCUUUUGGCAGGAACGAAACGGUGUCCGCUAAUACCGGGCGCUAAUGACGGUACCUGCAGAAUAAGCACCGGCUAACUACGUG
rnacentral:rRNA from 1 species